rnacentral:lncRNA from 1 species
UCACGCCUUAAAGACCUUACUACAAAAUGCUUCUGGCAAAUAGAUGUCAAAUGCUCGCAUCUUGCAGUAUCGAAGUUUACUGUUAGAUCAGCCUCGUUUGACUUUCUCUCCCACAAAGUGUUUCAAUCCAGCUACACUACUUUCUGACUCAGACUGCACUAUUCCUGCUCAUGACUGUCAAGAACUGUUAGAAACUAUCGAAACUGGCCGAUCUGAUCUUCAAGCUGUGCCCCUAGAAAAGGCAGAUGCCGCCUUGUUCACAGACAGUAGCAGCUUCCUCAAGCAGGAAGUAUGAAAAGUCAGUGCAGCUGUUACCACGGAGACAGAUGUGUUGUAAGCUCAAGCUUUACCAGCGAACACCUCAGCACAAAAGGCUCAAUUCAUCGCCCUCACUCAGGCUCUCUGAUAAAGUACAAGAUAUUAUCCUGCCACUUGUUUGAGGAGCCCUUCCCAAUCCAAUUCCUGACCAGAAAAAGUCCUGCCAUUCAUUCCAGCCAGGAGACCUAGCAUUUGUUAAAAAGUUCCAAAAAGAAAGACUCACUCCUGCUUAGAAAAGACCUCACACCGUCAUCCUCACGACUCCAACUGCUCUGAAAAUCCUUCUUAGAAAUUCCUAAGGCUCAAUGCUGUGUGGAAGAUUCUAAGAAAGAAAAUAGUUUCCGAUCUUUGGGAUUCCCCUGAGAUGGUCCAAUCUGCAAAAAGUUCAUUGCCAUUUCCAUCAAGGACACUGAGAAAAAGAGUCUUAUCCGGAUUGGAUCCUGGAAAUUGAGAAGCUUCAACAAGUGGGAAAUGCACCCUCCACAGGCUCACACCCUUGUGGGCUAUUUCAGUUACCUAUUGCACCUAAAAUUAGAAACUUUAAACCACCACAAGUCAUUAUUGCUCAUGACCAUGUGAGUUGCAUGGGGACUUCCUGUCUGGUUUAACUUGGG